GACGUAGGGCGCGAGCGUUGUCCGGAAUCACUGGGCGUAAAGGGUGCGUAGGCGGGUCUUUAAGUCAGGGGUGAAAUCCUGGAGCUCAACUCCAGAACUGCCUUUGAUACUGAAGAUCUUGAGUUCGGGAGAGGUGAGUAGAACUGCGAGUGUAGAGGUGAAAUUCGUAGAUAUUCGCAAGAACACCAGUGGCGAAGGCGGCUCACUGGCCCGAUACUGACGCUGAGGCACGAAAGCGUGGGGAGCAAACAGG
rnacentral:rRNA from 1 species